CAGCAGCCGCGGUAAUACGUAGGGUGCAAGCGUUAAUCGGAAUUACUGGGCGUAAAGCGUGUGCAGGCGGUUUGUUAAGACAGAUGUGAAAUCCCCGGGCUCAACCUGGGAACUGCAUUUGUGACUGGCAAGCUAGAGUGUGGCAGAGGGGGGUGGAAUUCCGCGUGUAGCAGUGAAAUGCGUAGAUAUGCGGAGGAACACCGAUGGCGAAGGCAGCCCCCUGGGCCAACACUGACGCUCAUGCACGAAAGCGUGGGGAGCAAACAGGAUUAGAUACCCCCGUAGUCCCUGUCUCUUAUAC
rnacentral:rRNA from 1 species